AACGAACGCUGGCGGCAUGCCUAACACAUGCAAGUCGAACGAGACCUUCGGGUCUAGUGGCGCACGGGUGCGUAACGCGUGGGAAUCUACCCUUGGGUUCGGAAUAACUCAGAGAAAUUUGAGCUAAUACCGGAUGAUGUCGCAAGACCAAAGAUUUAUCGCCCAAGGAUGAGCCCGCGUAGGAUUAGCUUGUUGGUGAGGUAAAAGCUCACCAAGGCGACGAUCCUUAGCUGGUCUGAGAGGAUGAUCAGCCACACUGGGACUGAGACACGGCCCAGACUCCUACGGGAGGCAGCAGUGGGGAAUAUUGGACAAUGGGCGAAAGCCUGAUCCAGCAAUGCCGCGUGAGUGAUGAAGGCCUUAGGGUUGUAAAGCUCUUUUACCCGGGAUGAUAAUGACAGUACCGGGAGAAUAAGCUCCGGCUAACUCCGUGCCAGCAGCCG
rnacentral:rRNA from 1 species